rnacentral:rRNA from 1 species
UACGUAGGGUCCGAGCGUUAAUCGGAAUUACUGGGCGUAAAGGGUUCGUAGGUGGUGCGGCAAGUUGGAAGUGAAAUCUCUGGGCUUAACCCAGAGGCUGCUUUCAAAACUGCCGCGCUCGAGUGCGAGAGAGGUCAGUGGAAUUGCAGGUGUAGCGGUGAAAUGCGUAGAUAUCUGCAGGAACACCCGUGGCGAAGGCGGCUGACUGGAUCGCAACUGACACUGAGGAACGAAAGCUAGGGGAGCAAACAGG